rnacentral:rRNA from 1 species
AGCUCCAAUAGCGUAUAUUAAAGUUGUUGCAGUUAAAAAGCUCGUAGUUGGAUUUCUGAUGGGAGUGGCUGGUCCGCCCUUAUGGGGUGUGAACUGUGCUUACUCUCGUCAUCCUUGGGGAAAGCCUUCCUGGCAUUAAGUUGUCGGGUUGGGGAUCCUCAUCGUUUACUGUGAAAAAAUUAGAGUGUUCAAAGCAGGCUUACGCCGUUGAAUACAUUAGCAUGGAAUAAUAAGAUAGGACUUUAGUACUAUUUUGUUGGUUUGCGUACCAAAGUAAUGAUUAAUAGGGACAGUUGGGGGUAUUCGUAUUCAAUUGUCAGAGGUGAAAUUCUUGGAUUUAUGGAAGACGAACUACUGCGAAAGCAUUUACCAAGGAUGUUUUCAUUA